rnacentral:rRNA from 1 species
UAUCAGCUUGUUGGUAGGGUAACGGCCUACCAAGGCUUUGACGGGUAGCUGGUCUGAGAGGACGAUCAGCCACACUGGCACUGCGACACGGGCCAGACUCCUACGGGAGGCAGCAGUAAGGAAUAUUGCGCAAUGGGCGAAAGCCUGACGCAGCGACGCCGCGUGGGGGAUGAAGGUCUUCGGAUUGUAAACCCCUUUCGGGGGGGAAGAUGGAGCGAGCAAUCGUUCGGACGGUACCUCCAGAAGCAGCCACGGCCAACUUCGUGCCAGCAGCCGCGGUAAUACGAAGGUGGCAAGCGUUGUUCGGAUUCACUGGGCGUACAGGGUGUGUAGGCGGUUUGGUAAGCCUUCUGUUAAAGCUUCGGGCCCAACCUGGAAAGCGCAGAGGGUACUGCCAGGCUAGAGGGUGGGAGAGGAGCGCGGAAUUCCCGGUGUAGCGGUGAAAUGCGUAGAGAUCGGGAGGAAGGCCGGUGGCGAAGGCGGCGCUCUGGAACAUACCUGACGCUGAGACACGAAAGCGUGGGGAGCAAACAGGAUUAGAUACCCUGGUAGUCCACGCCCUAAACUAUGGAUACUAAGUGUCGGCGGGUUACCGCCGGUGCCGCAGCUAACGCAUUAAGUAUCCCGCCUGGGAAGUACGGCCGCAAGGGUUGAAACUCAAAGGAAUUGACGGGGGCCCGCACAAGCGGUGGAAGCAUGUGGUUUAAUUCGACGCAACGCGAAGAACCCUUACCCAGGUUGGACAUGCACGUAGUAGAAGGUGAAAGCCUUGACGGGUAGCAAUACCAGCGUGCUCAAGUGCUGCAUG